GAUGAACGCUGGCGGCGUGCCUAAUACAUGCAAGUCGAGCGAAUGGAUUAAGAGCUUGCUCUUAUGAAGUUAGCGGCGGACGGGUGAGUAACACGUGGGUAACCUGCCCAUAAGACUGGGAUAACUCCGGGAAACCGGGGCUAAUACCGGACAACAUUUUGAACCGCCUGGUUCGAAAUUGAAAGGCGGCUUCGGCUUUCACUUAUGGAUGGACCCGCGUCGCAUUAGCUAGUUGGUGAGGUAACGGCUCACCAAGGCAACGAUGCGUAGCCGACCUGAGAGGGUGAUCGGCCACACUGGGACUGAGACACGGCCCAGACUCCUACGGGAGGCAGCAGUAGGGAAUCUUCCGCAAUGGACGAAAGUCUGACGGAGCAACGCCGCGUGAGUGAUGAAGGCUUUCGGGUCGUAAAACUCUGUUGUUAGGGAAGAACAAGUGCUAGUUGAAUAAGCUGGCACCUUGACGGUACCUAACCAGAAAGCCACGGCUAACUACGUGCCAGCCGCCGCAGUAA
rnacentral:rRNA from 1 species